rnacentral:lncRNA from 1 species
UUGAGGAAGAAAACAGAAUCAACGGAGCUGUUACAGAAUCCAAAUCUAUACAAAAACCGGGAGCAAACACAUCGUUUCCGAGACAGAAGGAUUAGAUCCAGGAGCCGCAGUGACAGCUGUGUGUGCGUCCCCGGAAAGUUCCCCCGAAGGGGACAGGGUCCACUCCCACGACCCCAGGAAGGGGCGUCCUGCCUGGAAGAGCCGAGACCUCCGGGCCGUAGCUUCCGGGACGCUAGCUUUGGGAGACCCACCAGGAGCGGCAGCCGAGUCCGCAGCGACCCGGAAGUGCAGUCUCUGCCGGAAGUGCUGCCACUGCCCUCCGCACGCCCCCUGACUCUCGGCCCUGACAGCCCCGUGGCCCCCUCCUCUCCUAGGUACGCACCUGAGUUCGCCGCGCCGGCCUCUCGGCCUAGGAAACCCGGAACCCGGCCUUGCGAGCAGGCGGGCAGCUGCGGGUGUCCAGCACUCCGAGAGGCCUCGGGUCUCAAGGUCCGGCGCCAGGCCCGCCGCGACCUGACCCAGAUAGCGGAGGCCCCGGGGGAGGAGUCCGCGGCCAGGACUGGCGCGAGUGUGCUUUUCUCACAGAAAGUAAGAUGGCUUACAGAGGAGAAAGACCCAAGUGUUGUGGAACAAGGAAUUGCAGAGAAGCAGAGAAAGGAGAAAUGAAGUUUCUGAAAAUAAAUGGAAAAUUUGACUUCACAUUGGAAACUUAAAUUUUCCCUAAAGCCAGUCCUGUUUAUCAAACUAACUUUUCUCAUCAGAAUUUACUAUCUAGUGUUUGGAAUUUUUUCUAAAUAUAUGUAUACGGUACUUUAA